rfam:Scleropages formosus scaffold13392, whole genome shotgun sequence.
AUUAUGAUUGUUACGGCCCUGAGUACGCCUGAUCUCAUCUGCUCUUGGAAGCUAAGCAGGGUUGGGUGGGGUUAGUACUUGAAUGGGAGAGUGCCUUGGAAUAGCUGGUGCAUUAGGCUU